UCCAGCUUAUUUUAUUUAUUAUUGUUAUUAUUUUUUACAAACAAUAGAUUUGCUGCAACAUGCUCUGGCUCAUAUUAUUGAAUUAAAAAAUUUAACACAUUUCAAAAAAUAUCAAAAAUACACUAUAAUGAGUCUUAGGACUACAAUACGACAAUGAUUGCACAAAACCUUAAGAUAUGAGCUCACUGUCUGGAUGAUAUCCAUUGAUAACAGUGAGAGAAAACCCUAUAGCAUCUGGGAGAGGUACAUGAGAUUUAGAAUACAAGGAGUUUAUGCUGAUUGAUCACCAAAUGAGGGAACAGAGCAGGGUUGACUGUAGCUGCAUUUCUCAAUCUAGAAAGUGCUUACCCAACCACAAGGCAAAGUCACUAACUGGAGAGAAAGAUUAAGAUUAACUUGCCUCCAUGAUUGGGGAGCCUGGAAGGCUCCACCCAGAGGGAAGUAAAAAGUGACACGAGACAGUUCUAUGGUGAUGCUGCAGACAUCACCAAAUGGCUUGGAGACUGAUUCUUUAGAAAUUGGUACAUUUAUUGAUAACAGCCAAGUGCUCUCUUAUGGAGGUCUCUUCAUUAAUAAUUAUUGAAUAAAUAGAGGUGAGCCUGUGGCUUCCAAGUACCUGCUUUUGCUGAAGGUCUACACAGAAAAGAGCAUCAUCUGAUAGUCAGUAGAUCAGCCGAACCUAACUGGUUCCAUCUCCUGGAAAAUAGCACUCAAUGCAAGCAAUUGUAAUAGCACCCAGUGAUUACCAAGCUGCUCUUCUGUACGCCAGGAAAAUGAGUUCACCAACUUAUUGCACAAGUACAAUCUACAGUAGUAUAAUAAAGCCCUUGCUGUGUCAGGAGUGGUAAUUCAAUGACCUGACUAUAGUAGUACUGUAGCUUUAUGUCAUACUACCAAAUUUUCAGAUAUACCGCCACAUGUGUUUUCCUUCCCCUGGGGGACUCCUGAAAUACACCAAGUAUUCCUUCAGAGGUACAUGCAGAGGCCAGGAAUUCCAUGCUACAGAUAACCUGUACUCUGCCCACCUGGGGAACACAGCCUCUGGGUAAAGUACUGGGAAGAUUACACUCACCUGGAGACAGAUUACUGGCUUUCAUUGGCAGCCCACCCAGAUAACAAAUCUAUAAAUUACCUUGCUGGUCAAAAUAGGUAUGCGGUGAGCCGGGGAUUUAGCUCAGUGGUUCCGGCACCUGCCUCGAAAGCAGGAGGACCCAAGUUCAAUCCCCAGUACCAAAAAAAAAAAAAAAGUAUGUGGUCUAUUUUGGUAAUGGGCUAUGGCCUUUAUACCCUGUUUUAAUACAGAGCAACUAUAGAAAGACAUGAAUGAAAGGAAAUUGCAAAACAUAGUAAGUUCUGGUAUAGCCUACAUUAAAGGUUUUCAAUACAACUGAAUGGUUCCCAAAAAUAACACUACCACAUAAAAAUACAUUUGAAAUUUCAGAGUUCUGCUGACCAAAAAGUAAUUUUUUUUUUUUUUUUUGGUGGUACUUGGGGAUUUAGCCAGGGACUUCACAUUGAAUCCCCAGCCCUUUUAUUUCUUGAGAUAAGGUCACAUCAAGUUGCCCUGGCUGGGCUUGAACUUUUGAUCCUCCUGCUUCAGCCUCCCAUGCAGCUGGGAUUACAUGUGUGCCACUAUGCCCAGUGACUACAUUUACUUUUGGUAAGGUCACUGCAGAACUGAGUUUUGAGGUGGUUCCAAUAAGUAGGGUGGGAAACAAAUAGAAGGCAAGAAAAGAGUUCACAGAUAAAGUACUUUUUUAUGGUAUACUAUUAAAGUGGUAUUUUCCCAAAAUAACUUUGAUUUUUAGACAUCACUAUUCUAUAACCCAAAGGUUUGACUGUCUUGAGUAGGAAGAUGUCUUACAUCACCCAUUAUGUACAAUCUUAGGUUUUUCCUUCAUUUUUUUUCAUUUUCCCAUAUAAAAAUAAAGUGGCAACACACUAUUGUUUCCAUCUUUCUUUCUAACAGCACCUAAACUUCGUAUGAGCCACCAUGUUCCCCACUUCAAAUCAAAAACCUGAGUUCUAAAGUUUUUCAGUAGCUGACCAAUAUUUUGACAGAGGGAAGUCAAGUGUUCUUGAUGAUUUAGGGGUUCAUGUUCUUGAGGGGAAUCAUUAGGCAGCCACUGGAGUGGUACAAAAUCCCCAAGAGUGUACCCCAUUGACACAUGCACAUGGGUAUGGGGCCUCUGAGAAAAUGGAGAGACAUAACUAUCUGUGGACAGGUCAUCUGAUUUUUGACUAUUGCUUUGAACAAAAACUUCCCCAAAACCACAAGUGAAUAUUUACUUUUAAUCUUAUAUUUAACAUUUUGUUUCUGAUGAAACAAAAAUAGUUCCACUGUAUUUUCU
ensembl:lncRNA